rnacentral:miRNA from 1 species
AGGUCCUGCUGCCAAGAUGUGUCCCUCUGGCUGCAACACAAGACACGAGGGUUCAGAAAAGCUCCCAUGUCCUGUGUUGUAGCCGGAGGUCUCACAAGAGAUCA